rnacentral:rRNA from 1 species
UGUCCGCCAGGGAACUACGAGCAAAAGCUUAAAACCCAAAGGACUUGGCGGUGCUUUAGACCCACCUAGAGGAGCCUGUCCUAAAACCGAUAACCCCCGUUAAACCUCACCCUCACUUGUUUCUCAGCCUAUAUACCGCCGUCGUCAGUUUACCCUGUGAAGGACCUAUAGUGAACAUAAUUAGUAUAACCCAAAACGUCAGGUCGAGGUGUAGCAUAUGUGAGGGGAUUAGAUAGGCUACAUUCUCUCCCCAGAGCAAACGAAUAGUAUACUGAAAACCAUACCAGAAGGAGGAUUUAGCAGUAAGUAAAAAACACGAGUGUUUUACUGAAAUAGGCUCUAAAGCGCGCACACACCGCCCGU